rnacentral:rRNA from 1 species
UGGGGAAUUUUGGACAAUGGGCGAAAGCCUGAUCCAGCAAUGCCGCGUGUGUGAAGAAGGCCUUCGGGUUGUAAAGCACUUUUGUCCGGAAAGAAAUCCUUGGCUCUAAUACAGUCGGGGGAUGACGGUACCGGAAGAAUAAGCACCGGCUAACUACGUGCCAGCAGCCGCGGUAAUACGUAGGGUGCAAGCGUUAAUCGGAAUUACUGGGCGUAAAGCGUGCGCAGGCGGUUUGCUAAGACCGAUGUGAAAUCCCCGGGCUCAACCUGGGAACUGCAUUGGUGACUGGCAGGCUAGAGUAUGGCAGAGGGGGGUAGAAUUCCACGUGUAGCAGUGAAAUGCGUAGAGAUGUGGAGGAAUACCGAUGGCGAAGGCAGCCCCCUGGGCCAAUACUGACGCUCAUGCACGAAAGCGUGGGGAGCAAACAGGAUUAGAUACCCUGGUAGUCCACGCCCUAAACGAUGUCAACUAGUCNUUGGGGAUUCAUUUUCCCUUAGUAACGUAGCUAACGCGUGAAGUUGACCGCCUGGGGAGUACGGUCGCAAGAUUAAAACUCAAAUGAAUUGAC